UUUUUUUUUUUUUUUUUGAAUAGAGAUGUUAUGUCUGAUAAGAUCAAGAACCAUUGGGUUAGUUUCCAUCAGAAAUUCCAAUUUUGGAGUUCCCAUCAUGGCUCAGCGGAAACGAAUCUGACUAGUAUCCAUGAGGAUGCAGGUUCCAUCCCUGGCCUUGCUCAGUGGGUUAAGAAUCCAGCAUUGCUGGGAGCUGUGGUACAGGUCACAGAUGUGUCUUAGGUCUGGCGUUGCUGUGGCUGUGGCGCAGGCCAGUAGUUACAGCACCAAUCGACCCUAGCCUGGGAACCUCCAUAUACCAUGGGUGUGGCUCUAAAAAGACCAAAAAAAAAGAAAUUCCAUUCCAAUUUUUUUCUCUUCUGGAAAAUUUAGUUUUAGAGUCAGUAUGCAUAGAUAUUUCUCAAAAUUCAAUCCCUUCUGGAAAUGAUUUAUGAUUGCUCCUGCUGUGUUAAUAAAAUAGUGUGAAAAGAGCUUGUAGUGUAUCUGACCUGAGGAUGUGAUAUGUUGGGAAUUGAGGGGGAAGAAAGAGAACGAACGAUAUCUUGGAUAGCCUUCAAAAGAAGCCAUAAAAGCUAUACUUGGUUACCUACUUUAGGCAGCCUUCACUACCGUCAAAACCCACAACCAUCUCCACCAGCACUACCCAUAACAUAAUCAACUACAAACAUACUUGAGGAAAGACCAAGCUCUCUCCACUUUAGCCGCUAAGAUUUAGAGAAAAGAUGUAAAUAAAAACAUCAUUGACUGUAGGGGGAAGCCAAGGCUUCUAGUUACCCUGUAACAUUCUCCUGAAUAUUAUUCCUCCCAAUGUUAUGCCAUUGAUUCAAAAGAAUGUAUGCCAUUCUUUUCAAAAAUGAGUGGUCUUUAUUUGUAAUUAAAUUUUGAAAAUGAUUUCAGUGACAAAUGUGUGCCAUUUACCAAAAUUAGAUACAGGUAAUUGAAACUUUUAAAAUCCCAAUGAAGGCUGAUGCGUGUAUUCUAUACAACAAAUAAUUAUGAUGUUUAUUUUGCUACCUGCACAUAAAGUUUUGUCUUGGCUGCUUUCCUACGCCAUAUAAUUAUGUUAAGAUGUAUUUUUUACGCUCUCUGCAGUCUGAGAUAUGUUUUUUGAAAAUUGAAAAUAAAAUGACUUUUCUUAAUCACAAUAUAUUUUUCUUAAUCACAAAUAUAUUUUUUCCCCCUCUGGAAGACACUGUCUUUUUUACUUACUGUUUUAAAAACUGCCCAAAUCAAUACAACUUUCAUGGUUGAGCACUAGACUAUUUGAUUGUGUUAGGGGAAUAUGUACAGUGCUGGGAAUAGCAUUAACUUCUCUGGCUCUAUUAGUUUUGAGGCAAUGGUUCAUUAACAGCAUAUACCAUUAAUUUAAAGUAAGCCCUGCACUAAUAAUGACAAUUGAUUUCUUUGUUUAAUUUCUCUAUAACCAAAUGGCACACUUUACAAUGAACCCCAAUUUAAAGUCCCUUUGGGACUCUGAAUUACAUUACAUCUAUUUAAAAGGUUAUGUUUAAUAACUUAACUCACUUGAUACUUUCCUUUUUACAACAUUCAAAAUAUAAAAACAGAACUAAUUACACUAUUAUAAUUUUAGUUAUUACGUUUUAGUAAAAGAUUAAUAAGCAUUUCUAAAAAUAAAAAGAAUGCUUCCACACAUAAAUUUUCCUUUCAACUUGUACUAACCUCAUUUUAUAAAGAACUACAAUACAUGGCAUAGAUUUAAAAACACAAUCUCCGUCAUUCUCUGUGGUCUAAAAGUCACAAUUUUAGUGUGCCAGCAGCUACUCCGUCUGAAUAUACUGACCUUGAGUUGUCAGACAUUUUUUCUGGCAUAACUUAGCUAUAAAACAUAUAUCUUGAAAUAUGUGCUUAAAAAUACAUAUUAUUAAUGAAAACCUUAACUGUCCACUAAUGUAAUGAAGUACCUCAAGGUGAUGUGAAAAAUAAACUCUUGUUGGCAUAAAUAUAAAUCCUGAGCAUUAAAUCCUUGAGUUUAAGUUCCGACUCUGCACUUAUAAACUGGGUCAUCUUGGCCAUGUCAUUUUAUGUUUCUGAGUGUCUCUUUCUGCAUACAUCAAAAGUGAUUAAUAAUAUAUAUUAUACUUCACUUCCAGGGCAUUUGUGAAUAUAAAAUAAGAAAAUUCAGAUUAUUUUCAAAUCACAGUAAUAAGAUGAUGAAGAAAAGGAAAAAAUAUAUUUCAAACAUCAUGAUGUGCUUUCUGCUCUGUGGAAUUAUGAAUCCAGCAGAUGUAUUUUUAAAUAACCAACAGAGUAUGAACCUGAGGGGAACACUGUAAACUAUAUGACUAACAUAAUCUCAAACAAGAAUAAAGCACAUGGGCCACCUGACUGUAGGAAGUCCCAAAUAAUUCAAUUUCAUUCCUUCAACCAUGGCCAAAGCAAGCACCUAUAACAAUAGGAAAAGGCACAUUAAACCUAUCAUACUGUUAGAAAUUCAUUUCUUAUUUUUAUGGUCUAGAAUAAUUCUGAGGGCAUUGGAGGCUAAGGUAAGCACUGCACCUGUGAACAUGAUACAACCAUUAGUCAAAGUCACGGUACUUUUUUUAAACUGAAGUUAUCAUUUGCUUACAAUGUUGUGUUAAUUUUUGCUGUACAGAAAAGUGAUUUAGUUAUAUAUACAUAUAUAUCUUCUUUUUCAUAUUCUUUCCCAUUAUGGUUUAUUACAGGAUAUUGAAUAUAGUUUCUUGUGCUAUAAAGCAGGGCCUUGUUGUUUAUCCAUUCUAUAUAUAGUGGUUUACAUCUGUUAAUAACAAAUUCCUAAUUUAUUUCCCCUCCACCCCCCUUUCCCCUUUGGUAACUCUUAAGUUUGCUGUCUAUACCUGUGAGUCUAUUUCUGUUUUGUAUGCAAGUUCAUCUGUGUCAAUUUUUAAGAUUACACAUAUAAGUGAUAUGAUACAACAUUUUUCUUUCUCUGUCAGACUUAUUUCACUUAGUAUGAUAAUCUCAAGGUCCAUCCAAGUUGUGGCAAAUGGCAUUAUUCAUUAGUUUUUUAUGGCUGAGUAAUACUGUGUCUGUAUAUAUAUAUAUAUACACACACACAUAUAUAUAUAGUGUAUAUAUUGUAUACAUAUACAUUACCUCUUUAUCUGUGCAUCUGUUGAUGGACACUUAGGUUGCUUCCAUGUCUUGCCUAUUGCAAAUAGUGCUGCUAUGAACAAAUUAGAGGUUUCCUCAGAUGUGUGCCUAGGAGUGGGAGUGCAGGAUCAUAUGAUAACUCUAUUUCUAGUUUUUUAAGGAACCUCCGUACCAUCCUCCAUAGUGGCUACACUAAUUUACAUUCACAUCAACAGUAUAGGAGGGUUUCCUUUUCUCUUUUAAGCACACCCUCUCCAAUGCUUAUUAUUUGUAGACCUCUUGAUGAUGGCCAUUCUACUUGUAUGAGGUAAUACCUCACUGUAGUUUUGAUUUGCCUUUCUCUAAUGAUUAGCAAUGUUCAGCAUUUUUUCAUGUUCUAUAAGCAAAUCCCAAAUGGGUUUAUAGUCCCAAGCUUGAUCCAAAGCUCCAAACGAGUAUUUUUCCCUCCUGCGAUAAAUCUCAAUUAUAUAUCCCAAACCAAAUGCAUUCACUUUGCACUUACACGUACUAGAGCUUGGGCGUACUUCUUCUGUAAAUAUUCCUAAAUAUUUUGUGCACAUUUUCUAUAAAAGCAUAUAUAAUUGUGAAAGUGAAAUAAAAUAAGGAAUUCAUAUAUUUCACUAGUUCUUUGUGAAUGGCCUAGGGGCAAGAAUGAAUAUAAACCCAUCUAAACCUUUACCUACCUCCUAAAAAUCAAUACUUGACAUGAAAAAUAUAGCCACAGAUGAACAUACUACCAGCUUAUCACAAAUUGUGUGACCAAUAUAACCCUUGUACUUGAAACGGAGAAAAUUAAAUCUACUUUCUAAUGAUGGAUGUGACAUUACCUCAAAUCAAAUAAACUCCACCCUUCUUGCUGAGAAGCCCACAGAAAAAUAGUUCUGCAGCACCUUUAUUGAGUAGAAAUAGCACCACAAAGAGACAAUGUUUAGGAAAUGCUAUAGUGUGGGAUGAGUAAUUAAGAGAUGAAAACAUUUUUAUUCUCUUCUAAGGGCAGCAAAAGAUUAAUUUAGCACUCNAUAUAAUGACACGACUGAUUAGUUCAUUUUGUAUAAAAAAAUGAAUAGCUUAAAUCAAAUCCUCAUGCUAACAGGUAACAGGAAUAGUUCCUUGAGAAAAGAAGCAACAUGUUCACAAUAAAUGACAAAAACAAUGAGAUGAGCAACAAUCUUCUAAGCCAGCUGUGUCAACUCUUAAGAAAGAGAAGAGCAGAUAGCAGGCAGCAUCAACCUCCUACAAAAAUCCAAGCCCUGGGCCAUAGGAGAUUAGAAUUUCAUGUCAUUUUUCUGACUUACACAUUCUCUAACUUUAGGAAUACUUAGAUGAGAUUUAUACCAGACAUAAAAAAGGGGAGGAAAAUCAAUAAACUAAUCAUUGACUUAUAUCUUUGAAGAAAGAAGUGCAAAAACUGUCACUGUAUGCAUAUGACAUAAUACUAUAUAUAGAAAACCCUAAAAACUACUUGAACUGAACAACAAACUCAGCAAAGUAGCAGGAUAUAAGAUUAACAUUUAGAAAUCAGUCACAUUUCUGUAUACUAACAACAAAAUAUUAGAAGAGGAAUACAAAAAUACAAUACCUUUUAAAGUGCACCAAAACAAAUCAAGUACCUGGGAAUACACCUGACCAAGGAGGUAAAAGACUUAUAUGCUGAGAACUAUAAAACAUUAAUCAAGGAAAUUAAAGAGGAUGCAAAGAAAUGGAAAGAUAUUCCAUGAUCCUAGGUUGGAAAAAUUUAUAUUGUAAAAAUGGCCAUACUACUCAAAGCAUCUGCAGAUUCAAUGCAAUCCCUAUCAAACUACCCAUGACAUUUUUCAUGGAACUAGAACAAACAAUCCAAAAAUUUAUAUAGAACCACAAAAGACUCAGGAUUG
rnacentral:lncRNA from 1 species